CAGGACUUGGGCUGCAGAAAGACGUGGUCCCAGGGACAGAGCACUCUUUUCCUCUCCUCUCAAAAAGGGAGAGGCAGGUGGAGAGGAAGAUGUGUCCCUUCUGCACUCCCUCUUCUGCAAGGGUGCCCAGGAGACUGAGGAAAGGCAACAGGCUGAUCAAAACCAGGACACCAGGACGGCCUCUGGACAUCAAUUCCAAACCUGGGCUUGCCACUACAAACUACCUGCAAAAAUUGUGGACAUCAAGGAUAACCCAACAGCAACCUGGCCCAGCAGCUGUGUGUGAAUGUCCUGCCCAUGCCCGUGCAGCCUCUCAGGGCACAGCUAAGGCUUGUUGCCACCCUGGUGAGAAGGAAUCUGCAGUCAAACCAGCCCAGACCCAAGUGAGCAGCCCAAAGCCGUCUGUGAGGAACAGAGCAGCCAUGAUCAGAUGGAAUGAUCUGAGCAGAUCACAGAAUCAUAUCAUGGAAUAGUUUGGGUUGGAAGGGUCCUUAAUGAAAAUCUAGUUCCACCCCA